UGAUGUGGAAGUGUGCCUUGUGCUCACAAAGUCAAGACCAGUACGGUCAACAUAGCCUCAGGAAAAAAAUGAAUGUAUGUCACAAGUGACGAACAGAAGACAUCAGAAUGAUUCAUUGUUCCUGUCACAGUAGAGGAAGGUAGGGUUUAAUCUAGGAGAAUAAGUUAGCCUUCACUGAGCAAACACCAGUGAGUACAACUCUAGGAAAAUGGACUCGGACGUGUACGGAACAGCACGAGAGACAAUGCUGAAUUAGGGACAAACCUGUAGCCCUGGAGCUGGGAGAGGGAGGCUGACGCCUGUGAUCUAGAGAAACUGGAGAAGAAAUAAGAGAAGUCAAGUCAGGACGGAUCUUGAAGGUUCUAAUAAGCUUGGACUUGGCCCAGGAGAUGCCAAUUGUUUUCUGUUCUUAACUUCUCUGGUUAGUUCUGGCUUUCUAGGUCUGGCCCAGACUCCCCAGAGCACACCUAACCAGCUCUAAGAAUCUUCACUCCAGCCCGAUGAUGGUGGCGCUCACCUUUAAUCCCAGCACUCAGGAUAUAGACAGGCAGAUCUCUGUGAGUUCCAGGCCUGCCUGGUCUACAGAGCGAGUUCCUGUAGGCUGCAGAGAAACUCUGUCUCAGAAAAAAACAAAAAACAAACAAACAAAUAGAACUUCCAUUUAACCUGCAGGUCUGGAGAAGAAAUGUUAGAAAUGUCACAAGGGAGCUACAUAAAAUUAUGAUGAACGUAUGUGAGAGUAGGUUGAUAAGGCUGUUGGGGGGGGUGUUUGUUUGCUUUGUUUGUUUUUGAGACAAGGCCUUACUCUGUAGCUUAGGCUGGCCAGGAACUCACUAUAUAGACUACACUGGCUUCCAAAGAUCCACCUGUCUCUACUUCCCUAGUACUGGGAUUCAAGGUUUAUAUCAUCAUGCCUGGCCCAAGUGAUAAGUUUUUUUUUAAAGAGAUAAAUGUAUAUCAGCCAAAGGGGAGUGUUUGGAAAGCACUAGAUACAGAUCUAGAGCUCUGACCAGAAGUAAAGAUUGAGUAUAGACUUGCAAAUUACAGCCAAUUGUUUCUUGGGCUUUUGUCUAAGAUCAAGUGCAUAAGUAAUAGCCACACUGACAGCUAUAUGGAUGUGACUAACCAGGGAAGGGUCUUGAUAGAGUAGAAAAGAAGUACCAAGCCAAGCUCUGAGGGACAAUGACAUUUAGAGGACUGGCAUACAAAGGAAAAUCUGUAAAGAUUCAAACACAGGAGCUGACCUAGGAAUGCCAAAUCAUCUGAGAACAUCCAUUCCAGAAUGCCUGUGUCAUGGAGGCAGGGAGGAUUUUUAAUACAUUUCAAAUAAAGAGGACUGGUUCAUUUCUGCUCCUGCACUGCCAAAGGGACCACCACAGUGUCUCUGCCUUCUCGUUGUCUGUGGUAACCACAACAUAAAGGUUUCAGGUGCAUUGAACUUUGAACCUCACACUACCCUUGUUCUUGGUCUUGACCGACUUGGCAUCCUUUUUUCCUGGCCAUCAUCAGAGAGUCCUUGACAUCCUCAAUUUUCUGAGGGGGCUGAAAUUCAGGGCGGGCUUCUGUCUGCCUGGAAUAAUGUGAGGAUGAUCCUUUCUGAAGAGCAGGUGGAACUUCUCAAUAUUCACAGUCUAGGACACAUCAGAAGCAUUAGGAAGCUCGUUAAACACAUGGGUGCCCACACUUUGCCCACAAGCUUCUGAUUCAAAGGCUUCAGGGUGGAGCUCUAACCUCUGCAUUUUAACAAGUUCCCUGGAGUUAUUCCUGUGCACAUGCAGCUUGAGGUGCAUUGUGUCAGAUAACACACUGCCCUGUUCAUCCAGCAAGCGUGUGCCUGGGACUGGCCGAAAGCAAUGAACUCUGGGAGAAACUCUUGCCUCAUGCAGGGCCUGACAUACCGUGAGCCCUGAUUAAAUGGCUGCCCCCCCCCAAAAAAAAGAGCCUUCAAGAAGAUGUAUCAUUUAGGGACAACAGACAUAAAUCUAUAGAUAAAUUGCUUGCAAAAGAAAGGGUCAGCUCGAAGGAGCUGUGAUUACUACACAAGACCUGCACAAGAACAAGCCAGUAAACAUUCUAGCAUGGGUAAGGAAGGGGUUCAUGAGCCCCUACCCCUGAUUGGGGAACUGUGGACAGUUGAUGGCUUGGAGCGGGAAGAGUGUGGCUCCACCUUCAUCCAGUAAUUACUGAUGGAAGCAGAUGCAGAGAUCCACAGCCAAGCACCAGGCCGAGCCGCAGGAAUCCAGUCGAAGAGAGG